rnacentral:snRNA from 1 species
AUCACUUCUUGGCCUUUUGGCUAAGAUCAAGUGUAGUAUCCGUUUUCCUCUAAGAGUUUUGAAUUAUUUGACCUUACAUUUGGGCCUUUAAUCCAUU